rfam:Methanobrevibacter filiformis strain DSM 11501 MBFIL_contig000060, whole genome shotgun sequence.
UUUGGCGACCAUAGCAUCAGGGCAACACCCAGUCUCGUUUCGAUCCUGGAAGUAAAGCCUGUUUGUGUUUUGUAUUGUGUACUAUGGGCUAUGCCUAUGGGAAUUUCAUUUUGUUGCCAAAC